UACGUAGGGUGCAAGCGUUGUCCGGAAUUAUUGGGCGUAAAGAGCUCGUAGGCGGCUAGUCGCGUCGGCUGUGAAAACCUGGGGCUUAACCCCGGGUCUGCAUUCGAUACGGGCAGGCUAGAGUGUGGUAGGGGAGAUCGGAAUUCCUGGUGUAGCGGUGAAAUGCGCAGAUAUCAGGAGGAACACCGGUGGCGAAGGCGGAUCUCUGGGCCAUUACUGACGCUGAGGAGCGAAAGCGUGGGGAGCGAACAGG
rnacentral:rRNA from 1 species